GAUGAAGAACGCAGCGAAAUGCGAUAAGUAAUGUGAAUUGCAGAAUUCAGUGAAUCAUCGAAUCUUUGAACGCGCAUUGCGCCCGCCAGUAUUCUGGCGGGCAUGCCUGUUCGAGCGUCAUUUCAACCCUCAAGACCCCUUCGGGGGACUUGGUGUUGGGGACCGGCACAGGGGCCUGCCUGCUUGUCUUGCAGCGCCCUCGCCGCCCCCGAAAUGAAUUGGCGGCCUCGUCGCGGCCUCCCCUGCGUAGUAGCACAAACCUCGCAACGGGAACGUGACGGCGGCCACUGCCGUAAAACAACCCAAUUUUAUUAGAGUUGACCUCGAAUCAGGUAGGAAUACCCGCUGAACUUAAGCAUAUCAAUAAGCGGAGGA
rnacentral:misc_RNA from 1 species